rnacentral:rRNA from 1 species
UACGAAGGGGGCUAGCGUUGCUCGGAAUCACUGGGCGUAAAGCGCACGUAGGCGGAUCUUUAAGUCAGGGGUGAAAUCCUGGAGCUCAACUCCAGAACUGCCUUUGAUACUGAGAGCCUUGAGUCCGGAAGAGGUAAGUGGAACUGCGAGUGUAGAGGUGAAAUUCGUAGAUAUUCGCAAGAACACCAGUGGCGAAGGCGGACUUACUGGUCCGGUACUGACGCUGAGGUGCGAAAGCGUGGGGAGCAAACAGG